GUUAAGAGGCCAGAGGUGAUCAGCGGCUGUCCAGACCUUUCAGAGCCACUGACACGCCGGCAGCACAAUGAUGAUGUCACUGACUCUACUGCUGGCCACCCUGGGGCUCCUUGUUCAGGGUUCAUCAGGAGAAAUCCUCCUGACUCAGUCUCCUGGAUCUCUGUCUGUUGUUCCAGGACAGACUCUUUCUAUCAAAUGUACAGCCAGUACAAGUGCUGGUACAUACCUUCACUGGUACCUUCAGAAACCUGGAGAAGCUCCUAAACUCUUGGUAUAUCAUGCUACAAAUCUUCACUCUGGAGUUUCAAAUCGUUUCAGUGGAAGUGGAUCUGGGACUGUCUUCACUCUGACCGUCACUGGAGUUCAGACUGUAGAUGCAGGAGAUUAUUAUUGUCAGCAGAGUAGCAGCCGGCCGUUCACACAGUGAUACAACGUCGUACAAAA